rnacentral:rRNA from 1 species
UCAGGCCUAACACAUGCAAGUCGAACGGUAACAGGAAGAAGCUUCGCUUCUUUGCUGACGAGUGGCGGACGGGUGAGUAAUGUCUGGGAAACUGCCUGAUGGAGGGGGAUAACUACUGGAAACGGUAGCUAAUACCGCAUAACGUCGCAAAACCAAAGAGGGGGACCUUCGGGCCUCUUGCCAUCGGAUGUGCCCAGAUGGGAUUAGCUAGUAGGUGGGGUAACGGCUCACCUAGGCGACGAUCCCUAGCUGGUCUGAGAGGAUGACCAGCCACACUGGAACUGAGACACGGUCCAGACUCCUACGGGAGGCAGCAGUGGGGAAUAUUGC